GACGAACGCUGGCGGCGUGCUUAAUACAUGCAAGUCGAACGCUUCAUUGCUAGCUUGCUCUUGCGGUCUAUUGGCGAAAGGGUUAGUAACACGUUGGUAACCUCCUCCCUAACCUGGGAUACACCUGGGAAACAGGGUCGAAUACAGGUUAUGAUCACUCACUGCAUUUUGUGCCGGAGGAAAUAAUAUUUGGUGGGGCAUUGACUCGCGGCGCAUCAGCUUGUUGGCGGGGUAAUGGCUUACCAGGGCGAUGACGGAUAGCCGACGUGAGAGUGCGAUCGGCCACACGGGGACGGAGACACGGCCAAGACUCCUACGGGAGGCAGCAGUAGGGAAUCUGCGGCAAUGGAGGAAAGUCUGACCGAGCAACGCCGCGUGAGUGAAGAAGGUGUUCGGAGCGGAAAACUCGGUUGUUAGAGAAGAACAAGGACGUUAGUAACUGAACGUCCCCUGACGGUAUCUAACCAGAAAGACACGGCUAACUACGUG
rnacentral:rRNA from 1 species